GGCUCGUUGGUCAAGCGGUUAAGACACCGGCCUCUCACGCCGGUAGCGUGGGUUCAACUCCCGCACGAGUCACCA
rnacentral:tRNA from 1 species